CUCAGAUCCAGAGGUCCUGAUGUGGAAUCUGGUGUUCCCAGGGCUCCGUAGACGCAGAGGCAAAGAGCAGUGGAGAUCUGUGCUACUGACUUACCAUGUGGUGGCAGCAAAUACCUUGAUCACAGCUGAGGACAAUCUUUCCAUGAACACCUGAAGCUUCAUAAUGUUACUGUGCUCCUUAUUUUUCUUUUCUUUUUUUAAAUGUUUUUAUCAUCAAUUACCUUUACUAGAUAAUGUGCCAACUUGAUAUGGUAACAAUAGUGUGAUUCUCAUUUGUAUUUUUGUGACUUUUAGAUCGAUGCAAAAUAAAGAAAAUGUCUGAAAAGGUUC